rnacentral:rRNA from 1 species
AUGAACUUGAGAGUUUGAUCCUGGCUCAGAGCGAACGCUGGCGGAAUGCUUAACACAUGCAAGUCGCACGCCCCGGCAACGGGGAGUGGCGGACGGGUGAGAAACGCGUAGGAACAUGUCCGGAGGUGGGGGACAACCC